UACGUAGGGGGCUAGCGUUGUCCGGAAUCAUUGGGCGUAAAGCGCGUGUAGGCGGUCCGGUAAGUCCGCUGUGAAAGUCGGGGGCUCAACCCUCGAAAGCCGGUGGAUACUGUCGGGCUAGAGUACGGAAGAGGCGAGUGGAAUUCCUGGUGUAGCGGUGAAAUGCGCAGAUAUCAGGAGGAACACCGGUGGCGAAGGCGGGUCUCUGGACCGAUACUGACGCUGAGGAGCGAAAGCGUGGGGAGCGAACAGGAUUAGAAACCCGAGUAGU
rnacentral:rRNA from 1 species